AUUAAAAAUAUUUUGCUCUUACUGACAACAGACACUAUUUUCAGAAUGCAGCAUGAAUGGUCUAAAGAAGAAAAAAAAGUUUAAAAAGUUGACAAGUCUAUGUAUCGCUAUCACUGGUGCUGCCUCAAAGUCAAAUAAAAGCUUAACCAAAAUGGAUCUCAUGCAACUUAUUGGAAGAUUAAUUAGGCAUUCUUCUGACCAAUUCAAGAGAAAAUCCACCAAUAUCGAUAUCAAUCAAUGAUGACUUAAUUAACUUCAAUCAACUGUUGUGUUUUUAUUUAUUUUGCAUUUUUCAGUAAUUUUCUUUUUACUUCUAAUAUACUAUCGAUUAUACUUUA
rnacentral:lncRNA from 1 species